rnacentral:rRNA from 1 species
UGCAGUCGAGCGAGCUGAAUUCAAAGAUCCCUUCGGGGUGAUUUGUUGGACGCUAGCGGCGGAUGGGUGAGUAACACGUGGGCAAUCUGCCCUAAAGACUGGGAUACCACUUGGAAACAGGUGCUAAUACCGGAUAACAACAUGAAUCGCAUGAUUCAAGUUUGAAAGGCGGCGCAAGCUGUCACUUUAGGAUGAGCCCGCGGCGCAUUAGCUAGUUGGUGGGGUAAAGGCCUACCAAGGCAAUGAUGCGUAGCCGAGUUGAGAGACUGAUCGGCCACAUUGGGACUGAGACACGGCCCAAACUCCUACGGGAGGCAGCAGUAGGGAAUCUUCCACAAUGGACGCAAGUCUGAUGGAGCAACGCCGCGUGAGUGAAGAAGGUCUUCGGAUCGUAAAGCUCUGUUGUUGGUGAAGAAGGAUAGAGGCAGUAACUGGUCUUUAUUUGACGGUAAUCAACCAGAAAGUCACGGCUAACUACGUGCCAGCAGCCGCGGUAAUACGUAGGUGGCAAGCGUUGUCCGGAUUUAUUGGGCGUAAAGCGAGCGCAGGCGGAAUGAUAAGUCUGAUGUGAAAGCCCACGGCUCAACCGUGGAACUGCAUCGGAAACUGUCAUUCUUGAGU